rnacentral:rRNA from 1 species
UACGGAGGGGGCGAGCGUUGUUCGGAGUUACUGGGCGUAAAGCGCACGUAGGCGGUGCGGUAAGUCAGGGGUUAAAGGCUGCAGCUCAACUGCAGUAAGGCCUUUGAUACUAUCGUGCUAGAGUGUCAGAGAGGAUGGCGGAAUUCCCGGUGUAGCGGUGAAAUACGUAGAUAUCUGGAAGAACACCAGUGGCGAAGGCGGCUACUUGGUUCGCAACUGACGCUGAGGCGCGAAAGCGUGGGGAGCAAACAGG